rnacentral:rRNA from 1 species
GACGAACGCUGGCGGCGUGCUUAACACAUGCAAGUCGAACGGAAAGGCCCUGCUUUUGUGGGGUGCUCGAGUGGCGAACGGGUGAGUAACACGUGAGUAACCUGCCCUUGACUUUGGGAUAACUUCAGGAAACUGGGGCUAAUACCGGAUAGGAGCUCCUGCUGCAUGGUGGGGGUUGGAAAGUUUCGGCGGUUGGGGAUGGACUCGCGGCUUAUCAGCUUGUUGGUGGGGUAGUGGCUUACCAAGGCUUUGACGGGUAGCCGGCCUGAGAGGGUGACCGGCCACAUUGGGACUGAGAUACGGCCCAGACUCCUACGGGAGGCAGCAGUGGGGAAUAUUGCACAAUGGGCGGAAGCCUGAUGCAGCAACGCCGCGUGCGGGAUGACGGCCAUCGGGUUGUAAACCGAUUUCGCCUGUGACGAAGCGUGAGUGACGGUAAUGGGUAAAGAAGCACCGGCUAACUACGUG